GCAUGAGGAGAGGGAAAGAGAGACAACACUGGAGGAGACUUCCUCCUCCUCUAUGCCACAAACAAGCUUUAAGGUGGCAGAUCUCUUGUCAUUGAAGCUUGAUAUAAAUCUCUUGGCUGAUUCAUGUAUUUCGACAUUGGUGCCCACUGGUCUUAUGAUAAAAUAUUUUGUGAGAGUUGACAAUGAUGGAAUUUUCCAUACGUAUCCUGACCGUGGUGGCCCAUUUGAGAUCAUAAAGGAAGUUCAGGAAGCCAUUGACUCCCACCAUGCUGUUCAGCGAAAAAACAUAUGCAUGGAUGGACUUACCGACGUUUAGAGGGCUAUCCGAUGUGCUCUUUUCUGGUAUCAUAAUGGCACAAGGAAGCACUCCAAAGAAGCUUAUGAUGCCUGUACGACCAAUCUCCCUACAAAGGAAUUGGUUAAGGCUGUACUCGACAAAUACAACGAGGACAAUGGUCUUGUCAGAGAUCUUGCAUAUGAACUAGAAGAUAUUGUGAGGCACAAAGCAUGUUUUGACGGGAAAAAUUGCAUUUAUAGAUCUUACGCUCAUUUCAAUCUCACUAUGAAGACUAAAGGAGCUGCGAACAAGGAUCUGUACUUUGCUGAAGUCACACGUAUGGACGGUGAUUAUGAAGCGUAUGUGCUCACCUGUAUCUGCAUGGUCAAACCUGAUGACAAUGGUAUUAUAUACUUAACUUCAUCUGCUUUGAGAUUUAGAAUUUUAAUUUCUC